UCGAAAUUGAAAGGCGGCUUCGGCUGUCACUUAUGGAUGGACCCGCGUCGCAUUAGCUAGUUGGUGAGGUAACGGCUCACCAAGGCAACGAUGCGUAGCCGAGCUGAGAGGGUGAUCGGCGACACUGGGAUUGAGACACGGCCCAGACUCCUACGGGAGGCAGCAGUAGGGAAUCUUCCGCAAUGGACGAAAGUCUGACGGAGCAACGCCGCGUGAGUGAUGAAGGCUUUCGGGUCGUAAAACUCUGUUGUUAGGGAAGAACAAGUGCUAGUUGAAUAAGCUGGCACCUUGACGGUACCUAACCAGAAAGCCACGGCUAACUACGUGCCAGCAGCCGCGGUAAUACGUAGGUGGCAAGCGUUAUCCGGAAUUAUUGGGCGUAAAGCGCGCGCAGGUGGUUUCUUAAGUCUGAUGUGAAAGCCCACGGCUCAACCGUGGAGGGUCAUUGGAAACUGGGAGACUUGAGUGCAGAAGAGGAAAGUGGAAUUCCAUGUGUAGCGGUGAAAUGCGUAGAGAUAUGGAGGAACACCAGUGGCGAAGGCGACUUUCUGGUCUGUAACUGACACUGAGGCGCGAAAGCGUGGGGAGCAAACAGGAUUAGAUACCCUGGUAGUCCACGCCGUAAACGAUGAGUGCUAAGUGUUAGAGGGUUUCCGCCCUUUAGUGCUGAAGUUAACGCAUUAAGCACUCCGCCUGGGGAGUACGGCCGCAAGGCUGAAACUCAAAGGAAUUGACGGGGGCCCGCACAAGCGG
rnacentral:rRNA from 1 species